rnacentral:rRNA from 1 species
CCUACGGGAGGCAGCAGUGAGGAAUAUUGCACAAUGGCCGUAAGCCUGAACCAGCCAAGUAGCGUGAGGGAAGACUGCCCUAUGGGUUGUAAACCUCUUUUAUGCGGGGAUAAAGGUGUCCACGUGUGGAUGUUUGCAUGUACCGUAUGAAUAAGGACCGGCUAAUUCCGUGCCAGCAGCCGCGGUAAUAAGGAGGGUCCGGGCGUGCUCCGGAUUUAUUGGGUUUAAAGGGAGCGUAGGCCGGUCUUUAAGCGGGCCGUGAAAUUUUGUGGCUCAACCAUGAGAGUGCGGCGCGUACUGGAGAGCUUGAGUGCGCGGGAGGCAGGCAGAAUUCGUGGUGUAGCGGUGAAAUGCUUAGAUAUGACGAAGAACCCCGAUGGCGAAGGCAGCCUGCCGCAGCGUUACUGACGCUGAGGCUCGAAAGCGUGGGUAUCGAACAGGAUUAGAUACCCUAGUAGUC